UACAGAGGUCUCAAGCGUUGUUCGGAUUCAUUGGGCGUAAAGGGUGCGUAGGUGGCGGGGCAAGUCUGGUGUGAAAUCUCGGGGCUCAACCCCGAAACUGCACUGGAUACUGCCUUGCUCGAGUACUGGAGAGGAGAUUGGAAUUUACGGUGUAGCAGUGAAAUGCGUAGAUAUCGUAAGGAAGACCAGUGGCGAAGGCGAAUCUCUGGACCAGCACUGACACUGAGGCACGAAAGCGUGGGGAGCAAACAGG
rnacentral:rRNA from 1 species